GCCGAAAUAGCUCAGCUGGUAGAGCAACGCAUUCGUAAUGCGUAGGUCGCCGGUUUAAGUCCGGCUUUCGGCU
rnacentral:tRNA from 1 species